UAAUACAUGCAAGUCGAACGCGCAGCGAAAGGUGCUUGCACCUUUCAAGCGAGUGGCGAACGGGUGAGUAACACGUGGAUAACCUGCCUCAAGGCUGGGGAUAACAUUUGGAAACAGAUGCUAAUACCGAAUAAAACUUAGUAUCGCAUGAUACAAAGUUGAAAGGCGCUACGGCGUCACCUAGAGAUGGGUCCGCGGUGCAUUAGUUAGUUGGUGGGGUAAAGGCCUACCAAGACAAUGAUGCAUAGCCGAGUUGAGAGACUGAUCGGCCACAUUGGGACUGAGACACGGCCCAAACUCCUACGGGAGGCUGCAGUAGGGAAUCUUCCACAAUGGGCGAAAGCCUGAUGGAGCAACGCCGCGUGUGUGAUGAAGGCUUUAGGGUCGUAAAGCACUGUUGUAUGGGAAGAAAUGCUAGAAUAGGGAAUGAUUCUAGUUCGACGGUACCAUACCAGAAAGGGACGGCUAAAUACGUGCCAGCAGCCGCGGUAAUACGUAUGUCCCGAGCGUUAUCCGGAUUUAUUGGGCGUAAAGCGAGCGCAGACGGUUGAUUAAGUCUGAUGUGAAAGCCCGGAGCUCAACUCCGGAAUGGCAUUGGAAACUGGUUAACUUGAGUGUUGUAGAGGUAAGUGGAACUCCAUGUGUAGCGGUGGAAUGCGUAGAUAUAUGGAAGAACACCAGUGGCGAAGGCGGCUUACUGGACAACAACUGACGUUGAGGCUCGAAAG
rnacentral:rRNA from 1 species